rnacentral:rRNA from 1 species
UACGUAGGGGGCAAGCGUUGUCCGGACUUACUGGGCGUAAAGAGCUCGUAGGCGGUCCGGUAAGUCCGCUGUGAAAGUCGGGGGCUCAACCCUCGAAUGCCGGUGGAUACUGUCGGGCUAGAGUGCGGAAGAGGCGAGUGGAAUUCCUGGUGUAGCGGUGAAAUGCGCAGAUAUCAGGAGGAACACCUAUUGCGAAGGCAGCUCGCUGGGACGUAACUGACGCUGAGACGCGAAAGCGUGGGGAGCAAACAGG